AGGUUCUAAAGAUGGGCACAGCCCAACUUUGAGUCCCAAGGACACGAGGAACAUGCAUCGCUUUGGGGGUGGCCACACUCUGAGUGACGGGGACGUCUUGAAGAUAAUGAAAAUGUACGACUGUGCCAUGGCCCCACAACAAUCUGUUAUGGUACCAGUGCUAUGGAACGGGCCGUCUUCUACAGGACGGGCAUUUAAGGAAGCAGGGAUUUUCCACAGCCACACAGUAGACAGCCAGGUCGGGGUCUGGAUGAAGCCAAAAAAUGGAGCGGAGAACAAAAGCAA